UGAUGUGAGGGCGAUCUGGCUGCAACAUCUAUCACCCCAUUGAUUGCCAGGGUUGAUUUGGCUGAUCUGGCUAGCUAGGUGGGUGUCCCCUUCCUCCCUCACUGUUCCACGUGCAUCCCUCCCAAAGCUGCAUGCUCAGUCAAAGAAAUGACUAUACCAAUAGAGGAGAACCAUUCUUAGGUCAAGGGUAUAGAAGUAGCUGUGCUCCCUUGCUAGAACCUCAAACAAGUUCUUGAGAUCCAAAUAGCAGUACAAGACUCCAGGAAAACCUUUCUUGUACUUUCCACAGGACUUUGCUGCAUGCAAAAGAAU
rnacentral:snRNA from 1 species